GUAUAUAUAGUUCAGUGGUAGAACGCAUGCUUAACAUGCAUGAGGGCCUGGGUUCAAUCCCCAUUGCCUCCA
rnacentral:tRNA from 1 species